rnacentral:rRNA from 1 species
GACGAAGGGGGCUAGCGUUGUUCGGAAUUACUGGGCGUAAAGCGCGUGUAGGCGGUUGUCCAAGUCGGGUGUGAAAGCCUUGAGCUCAACUCAAGAAAUGCACUCGAUACUGGGCGACUCGAGUGCCGGAGAGGAUAGUGGAAUUCCCAGUGUAGUGGUGAAAUACGUAGAGAUUGGGAAGAACACCAGUGGCGAAGGCGGCUAUCUGGACGGUUACUGACGCUAAGACGCGAAAGCGUGGGGAGCGAACAGG